rnacentral:rRNA from 1 species
AGGACGAACGCUGGCGGCGUGCUUAACACAUGCAAGUCGAGCGGUAAGGCCUUUCGGGGUACACGAGCGGCGAACGGGUGAGUAACACGUGGGUGAUCUGCCCUGCACUCUGGGAUGAGCUUGGGAAACUGGGUCUAAUACCGGAUAUGACUACAGCAGUGCAUGUGUUGUGGUGGAAAGAUUUUAUCGGUGCAGGAUGGGCCCGCGGCCUAUCAGUCUUGUUGGUGGGUAAUGGCCUACAAGGCGACGACGGUAGCCGACUGAGAGGGUGACCGGCCACACGUGGGACUGAGACGACGGCCCAGACCUCCG